ACAGUGUCUGGUGGGUAGUUUGACUGGGGCGGUCUCCUCCUAAAGAGUAACGGAGGAGCACGAAGGUUGGCUAAUCCUGGUCGGACAUCAGGAGGUUAGUGCAAUGGCAUAAGCCAGCUUGACUGCGAGCGUGACGGCGCGAGCAGGUGCGAAAGCAGGUCAUAGUGAUCCGGUGGUUCUGAAUGGAAGGGCCAUCGCUCAACGGAUAAAAGGUACUCCGGGGAUAACAGGCUGAUACCGCCCAAGAGUUCAUAUCGACGGCGGUGUUUGGCACCUCGAUGUCGGCUCAUCACAUCCUGGGGCUGAAGUAGGUCCCAAGGGUAUGGCUGUUCGCCAUUUAAAGUGGUACGCGAGCUGGGUUUAGAACGUCGUGAGACAGUUCGGUCCCUAUCUGCCGUGGGCGCUGGAGAACUGAGGGGGGCUGCUCCUAGUACGAGAGGACCGGAGUGGACGCAUCACUGGUGUUCGGGUUGUCAU
rnacentral:rRNA from 1 species